GUGCUGCCAAUGUAAACAAACAAUGGCGAAUACCACAGCAAGAUAUAGCGACUUUAGCUCGUAUUGAUACUCGGGUUUCAGGGGCUUAAGCGAUUCAACAGAUUACGCAUGUAUUGAAACGGAUGGUUGGAGUAUGAAAGUAUUGAAGAAGAAACUGAAGCUAUUGAGCGAAUAGCUAUUGACGCUAUUCAUAGCCAUAGCAUGGCAGAAUAGCUGCGUUAGCAUCGCCGGUAAAAUGUGCGGACCAAACAAUCAGGACUUUCGCAUCUUUUGACACUGGAGCAACUUAUAUCCGUCGAUUGUGAAUUCACUGGGGAGCCAAGGGGGCGCCAGCCUGCAAAAGUUUGGGAACCAUUGCUUUAGGCAAUGGAAACCAGCUACCGGGUCUCUCAGAGUCCAUUUGGAGAGACUGGAGGAGAUGUGGAUGAAGAGACAGGGCUGUGGAGCUGGUGCUGAGCGCCGGGACGGACAGGCUUCACAGUGUCUUGGCUGAAUGAGGAGGUAUUGGACACCUCGGUCUCCUUGCACGCAUCCUCGCUCAUCCAUGCGGACUGGACACCGGCCGAGAGUUGGUGGGUGGCUCUCUUGGUUGCUUUGUUGGGUCUGUCCUGUGUCUGGCCAUGCUCCUCACACCCCAGCAGGUGAUGGUGUGGAACACCACAAAGUUAAACUUGUAUUUUUGUUUGGUUGCUUGUCUAUGCAUUGUGCAAUCGUGUGUGUGUAGCGAUGUAGUACUCCUUUGCGUUGUGUUUUUCCCCAAAAGACGACACCCAGUCUUUCUUCCGGUUCGACCAUAGUUUAUUCUGGUGAAAACAAUCAUUGUGAGUCUCCAAUCAGCCUUCUCUAUACAUUUUUAAACCUGCACAGAAACAAAACAAAACAAAACUUAACAUAUACUGGUUCACAUCUGAAACAUCUUCUGGACCACUUCAGAAAGCCGAUUAUAUUUUACUUUAUACAUAAUUUGAACAGUUGUCUUUUAUACAAUUUGUAAUUUGUGUGACUUUAUGAAUCAUUUGUUGGGUCUCUAUAAUCCAUUUUAUUAAUAAUUUUUAUUACUCCCUUUCGUAAUAUGAUGAUUGUUUUGUGAUUGUUUUAUAUGUAUGUCCCUAGACCUUUAUGCAAUAUAAAAGUAAGAGAAAAUGGCUUAAUAGUUUGUGGAAUGAUGGUUUUGUUUUUACAAACAUACAUUUGUGGAUAAAAAAAAAAAUCCCCAAUCAUUGUUUUUUAAACAUUUUUUACGUUUUUUUUUUCUUUUUUGACAUCCCCAAAGCAUAUUAAUAUCAAUCAAAGUUUGGAGUUUCAAACAAAAGUCAAUAUUGUACAUCAUCCCACUGAGAUUUCCUUUGCAUACAUUCAUAAAAUAAACAGAUUAAUUUGUUCUCCUAUCACAGAAUGAACAAGUGUUGUCUUCAAUUGCAAACCAUCUUAAAAAUGAUUUUAAGUCUUCAAGCCUGGGUUAUUUCUCUUAAAUUAACUCCUUUGCGUUUGGAAGAAUGGAAACUUUAAAGUUAUGAGUAUUUGUUUUUGUUGCAGAGCAAAUACAGUAAAGAAGAAAUAGUAAAGAAUUAAAAAAAAAACACAAAAUGCUUUAAUUAGAAUAAUUUUAACGAAGCCUUUAUAUAUUUUUUUAUUGUUGUGUCUAUUUGCAGGUCGUACUCAAUGAAGUCCUCAAAUAAUAAAAUACUUUAAAAACUCAAUAAGUGCAUCAGCGACCAAAUGCCUUUUUCACACAAUUGCUGUUCGAAUAUGGAUUUGUUUCUCAUUUUAAUAUAACAACAAUUCCAUAGUGGAGUAUUGUGUGUGAUGAAGUUGUGUUUGUAAAUUAGUUUCCAGUACAACAACACUUGCUGGUAGGGAUGUGUACUGUUCACUUUUAAUUCCAUGUUUUAUGUGUUAUAUAUGUAAAUAUAUUGUGUGUUUGUAUUUUGCCAACAUGGUAGAAUCACAUGAUAGGCAGGUUGUUUAAUGUUUUUCUGUCACCUUGAGGAAAUGGCCUAAAGAGGAAGAUGACAAUAUAAUGUCACUUGGACAAUGAUGUACAGAACAGAGGAGAUUUAGUUCAUUGCUAUUUUUGGUUUUAGGCGAUUUUUUUUUUUUUUAAUAUUUUUUCACAAAACCUCUCCAUUAUCCAGCAAUGGAUUUCUGGUAGCUGGUUAAAAAGAGAUGGAAGUGGAUAGUGAGCUGAUGUAUGAGGAAGGUAUGGACAUGGAUAGGACUAGAGGGGAGAGGAGGUCAUGAAGGAAAGUCGAGUGCUAAAAGAGUAGAAAAGAGGAAAAAUAUUAUGGUGGUGUCAGGUUCAAACACAAAUGACAUCUAUUAAACAGACGAGAAGCAAGAAAUCAUGCAAAGAGAGAGUUACAUUUUGGUCAAUUGAGGAGAGACGUGUUUUGAGCCGUACUCUAGUUACAGAUCCAAACUACGUUCUAAAAGUCCAGCUCGUGUGCUCUCUCUAUUUAUUUGGAAGGUCCCUGGUUACAUCACUGAGGCUGUCGCUGAGGGAAGGGGGUAAUCUCAACAGCUCUAGUUAGACACAAUUAUAUAAUUAUACAAAAAUGCAAAUGUGCUGACAGUCGUGAUAUUGCCUUGUCUCUGUGUUGUGGCCACAACAACCCUGCUUCAACUCUGGGUCAUGGCAUUUUACCCUUUAAACUGACUUUUUUUUUAAGCAUGGUUCAUCUACACUUGAAGACUUAAUUAUUAGCCUCCUAAGAACUUUUGAAAAUGUCUUAAACAUCUGCCAAAUGUUUACAAUAAUCAUAACAUUCUCGGUAGUAAAACAUUCCUCAGAAUCAUUUUGGUACAUUUUUUAGAGACCCUGAAAUGCUCAGUCAUGGAGCGUAAGACAUUCUUUUUGAGCUUUCGGGAUUCAAGUACCUGUUCUGCUGACCAAUACUAGGCUUUGAGACCCCCUUGGAAAGGCCUCCUUCCACCCCUCAAUAGUCACCAAUAGGGAAGACCUUAGCAACAUUUGAAUAUGUAAACCCAAAAUGCAUUUGUAUAGGUUAAAUAGCUCAGUUGGGAGAGUGUCAGAUUGAAGAUCUGAAGGUCCCUGGUUUGACCCCGGGUUUCAGCACAAAUCUGUGAGCUCCUAAACCAAUCCUACUAUUAAGUCUUCUGUGGCUCUUACAAUACUGAAAUGGUCUCCCUGACCUGCCAAACUUGCUGGUAGACUCCUAGUAUACGUUGUUACACACCUUUCCUCCAUUUUCAAUUUGGACACCAUUACGUGGUUUAACAGUGUAUCGUUCCUUAAAAGAGUGUUUGGUCAUUAACUGACACUUACAUUGGGCUGUUUGAAACACAAAUGUGUUGCCUUAGGGGUAUUUUCUUGGAAUGUAUAACUUGAAACUGAGAGUAAUAAAGCUGGGCUCAGUGUGCAUCCAACACACCUACUGCAAAAUAUUAACCACAACUUUCAUACAGAUACACUGUCUAACAAUUUAUGUUUAAAGUAUUGAGGUUAAACUUUUAGAUGAUCGCAUUAACGCUCUCCCACCAGAGCUAAAGUGUAUGUAUGGGAUUAUUUUUGGAUUUCAUUUUUUUUAAUAAAAUAGGGAAAACACAAUCGCUGUUAAAAAACUAUUUAAAUUAGGUUACAAGGACUGCUGCAGUUGGGUGAAAGAAUGUAUUUUGAGAAAUGUAAGGAGGUUAGCAUCAGGCACCUGAACCCUGGACCCUCAGAUUAAAAGUUUGAUGCUCUGCCGACUGAGCUACCCAAGCCCUUUUCAAAGUUGAUUUGCCCAUCAUCUGAGAGAACAGCCAUAUUGUCAAUCUCAGGUGAAGGUGUAUUAGUCAGCAUGUUCAGUGACAAGCUGGUAAUUAUCAAAGCUCAAGCUCGCCACCAAAUCUCAUUUUUUGACAGUUAUGCCAGUUUUACAUCCUCAUCAACAAAGAAGGAUUUGACCAAAAAAGAAGCCCCUCUCCCGAAGUUGCCAACUCUGAGCUGGAUUUAACUUGGAUGCUCCCCAGAAUUUUGCCAGAAGCAUUUUGCUUAAUUUUUUAGUGGAGGUUAGCUGCAACAGGUAGAGCUGGUGAAGGCCCAGGCUGCAACAAAUAGAAGGUCACUAGAUUAUAAAGUCCAACAUAAGCAGUCAGUACAGCCCUGUUUUGGUAGUUAGUGUAAUGUAAACUGUGUGUUCCUUUGGCGUAAUAUGUUUACGAUAUACAAGCUGUACUACAGAAAAACUACAAAGGUCUAGUGGCGCAAUGGAUAACGCGUUUGACUAUGGAUAAGGAGAUUCUAGGUUCACCUCCUGGCUAGCUUGUUGUAUUUCUUUGCUCUAACUGAAGCAAAAUUCAGCGCCAUUUCUUCUGGAGUGUUUUUGCAUUUAAAAUAAAUAUCUACAAACAGGAACAUUCA